rnacentral:rRNA from 1 species
AACGAACGCUGGCGGCGUGCCUAACACAUGCAAGUCGAACGAGAAUUUUCUCUUCGGAGAAAUAGUAAAGUGGCGCAAGGGUGAGUAACACGUGAAUAAUCUGCCUACGAAUUCGGGAUAACGCGGCGAAAGCUGUGCUAAUACCGGAUAAGACCACAUCUCUUAAGGGAUGUGGCCAAAAGGAACCUCAAGUUCCGUUUGUAGAUGAGUUCGCGAACCAUUAGCUUGUUGGCGGGAUAAUAGCCCACCAAGGCUACGAUGGUUAGCCGGCCUGAGAGGGUGAUCGGCCACACUGGAACUGAGACACGGGUCCAGACUCCACGGGAGCAGCAGUGGGAAUAUUGCGCAAUGGGCAAAGCCUGACGCAGCAACGCCGCGUGAGGGAUG